CGCCGGCCGCCGCCUCCAUCCCCGCCCGCGGCCCGCGCUCCGAGCGCCCAGACCCGAGGCGGCCCGCACGUGCGCCCGCUCGCCGCCCGCCAGCCGACGAUCUGGGAGCAUGCCCGCGGGAGUCCGGCCGCUCGCCCGGGGCCAGCUGGCGGCGGCGGCGGCGCGUGGAGCCGCGGGGCGCAGCCGGCCGGGUUGGGGCCACCGGGCCGGAGUCUCCCGGGCCGCGUGAGGCGGCGGCGGCCCAGCGCGGCCGAAGAGGACGGAGCAGCGCCGUGCAGAGCGGGCCCUGGCCUGCCUGGGGGUGUACCCGGGGCCUAAGCGUGGGGUGUGGCCCUCAGAGAGAGGGGGCCAGGACUUGGAAGAAGUGCUCCCGGUUGUCCCCCUCGCUGGAGGAAAAAAUCUGGCCAAUCUCCAUCCCGUUACUGAUUCAUUGGGCUUCCGUGGUGGCUAAGUGGAAAAGAAUCUGCCUGCCAGCCAGUUCAGGAGAUGCAGCAUCCAGAACAGGGCUCCUCACGUGUGCUCAGCUGAGUUCAGUUCUUUGCCGCCCCAAGGACUGUAGCCCUCCAGGCUCCUGUGUCUAUGGAAUUCUCCAGGCAAGAAUGCUGGAGUGGGCUGCCAUUGCCUCCUCCAGUGGAUCUUCCUGACCCGGGAUCGAAGCCGAGUUUCCUGCUUUGGCAGGUGGAUUCUAUACCAUUAGUGCCACCUGGACUCCUCGGCGAUGCUCAGUGAUUCUUGGGGACACCAGUUCAAUCCCUGGUCCAGGAAGAUUCCACAUGCUGUGGAGCAACUAAGCCCAUGUACCACAGCUCCUGCAGCCCACGCUUUAGAACCCGUGCUCCAUAACAAGAGAAGCCACUGCAAUGAGAAGCCUGAGCACCGCAACGACGAGUAACCCCCGCUCACUGCAACUGGAGAAAGCCCGUGCACAGCAAUGAAGACCCUGCACAACCAUAAAUAAAUGAAUAAGAUUAAAUAAACCAGCUCAAGGAC
ensembl:lncRNA